GACGAACGCUGGCGGUGUGCUUAACACAUGCAAGUCGAACGGUAAGGCCCUUCGGGGUACACGAGUGGCGAACGGGUGAGUAACACGUGGGUGAUCUGCCCUGCACUUCGGGAUAAGCCUGGGAAACUGGGUCUAAUACCGGAUAGGACCCUGGGAUGCAUGUCCUGGGGUGGAAAGCUUUUGCGGUGUGGGAUGGGCCCGCGGCCUAUCAGCUUGUUGGUGGGGUGAUGGCCUACCAAGGCGACGACGGGUAGCCGGCCUGAGAGGGUGACCGGCCCACCGGGGAAGGAGAUGCGGCCCGACUCCCACGGGGGGGCAGCGGGGGGGAAUAUGGCACAGGGGGCGAAGGCCUGAUGCAGCGCCGCCGCGUGAGGGAGAAGGGCUUGCGGGUUGAAACCCUCUUCAGGCCCCGACGAAGCGCAAGUGAGGGUGGGUGAAGAAGAAGGACCGGCCACCUCCGGGCCAGCCGCCGCCGUAA
rnacentral:rRNA from 1 species